UUUGAUUACUGUUGGGCAGCUGAUGGUGCUGUGAUCAUUUGCUUCACUUCUGGUAUGAACUCUCUACUUUUUCUUUAUGUUUGUGAGUGAAUGCGUGAUCUUGCUUUAUCUGGAAAGUUGUUAUUGUAGCUCAGUUGAGGAAAAGAUAUCCUGGAAAUCAACCAUCCCGAAAGUUCUUUCGGCAUAAAGACCAGAGUGAUAUGAAAUUUUAGUAAAUUUAGAUUAUGUAUAAAAUUUAAGAAAAUCAAACAGAAACUGGCAGCAUCGCAUGGGCAAGCUGCCUAGUUUUAGCUUAGGUUUAAAUAUUAGUGCAUUUUUGUAUCUGUAUAAUUAUACCUCAAAUAUUAUCUAUCCAAGCUUUGUAUUUCAAAUUUAAUUAUCGUUUG
rnacentral:lncRNA from 1 species